rnacentral:piRNA from 1 species
AGGCAUGUGAUGCAGGUGUGACUUGAUU